rnacentral:rRNA from 1 species
UGGGGAAUAUUGGACAAUGGGCGAAAGCCUGAUCCAGCAAUGCCGCGUGUGUGAAGAAGGCCUUCGGGUUGUAAAGCACUUUCAGUAGGGAAGAAAAGCAGAGCGCUAAUACCGCUCAGUGCUGACGUUACCUACAGAAGAAGCACCGGCUAACUCCGUGCCAGCAGCCGCGGUAAUACGGAGGGUGCGAGCGUUAAUCGGAAUUACUGGGCGUAAAGGGCGCGUAGGCGGUUCGGUAAGUCAGAUGUGAAAGCCCCGGGCUUAACCUGGGAAUUGCAUUUGAUACUGCCAGGCUUGAGUGUGGUAGAGGGAAGCGGAAUUCCGGGUGUAGCGGUGAAAUGCGUAGAUAUCCGGAGGAACACCAGUGGCGAAGGCGGCUUCCUGGACCAACACUGACGCUGAGGCGCGAAAGCGUGGGGAGCAAACAGGAUUAGAUACCCCCGUAGUCC